UCGAGGAUCUUCGGCAAUGGGCGCAAGCCUGACCGAGCGACGCCACGUGUGGGAUGAAGGCCUUCGGGUUGUAAACCACUGUCGUAGGGGAGGAAGGCCGUGUGCAGAGCACGGUUUGACCGAUCCUAGGAGGAAGUCCAGGCUAACCUCGUGCCAGCAGCCGCGGUAAGACGAGGUGGACAAACGUUAUUCGGAUUUACUGGGCUUAAAGCGUGCGUAGGCGGCUCAGAAAGUUGGGUGUGAAAGCCCUCGGCUCAACCGAGGAAUUGCGCUCAAAACUACUGAGCUUGAGUGAGAUAGGGGUGAGCGGAACUGAUGGUGGAGCGGUGAAAUGCGUUGAUAUCAUCAGGAACACCGGUGGCGAAGGCGGCUCACUGGAUCUUAUCUGACGCUGAGGCAC
rnacentral:rRNA from 1 species